rnacentral:rRNA from 1 species
UACGGAGGGUGCAAGCGUUAUCCGGAUUCACUGGGUUUAAAGGGUGCGUAGGUGGGCAGUUAAGUCAGUGGUGAAAUCUCCGGGCUUAACCCGGAAACUGCCAUUGAUACUAUCUGUCUUGAAUAUGGUGGAGGUAAGCGGAAUAUGUCAUGUAGCGGUGAAAUGCUUAGAUAUGACAUAGAACACCCAUUGCGAAGGCAGCUUACUACGCCUAUAUUGACGCUGAGGCACGAAAGCGUGGGGAGCGAACAGG